rnacentral:tRNA from 1 species
GUUAAUAAGCUUAAAUAGCAAUUGUUUUGAAAACAUUAGAUAGAAAUUAAAGCUUUCUAUUAACUUUACUAAAUUUAAUUAUUAUAAUAACACUAUCUUUAAACCAAUAAAUAAACAAAUAAAACACAAAGAUGCAGGUAAAUAUCUCU